rnacentral:rRNA from 1 species
CAAUAGCGUAUAUUAAAGUUGUUGCGGUAAAAAAGCUCGUAGUUGGAUUUCUACCGAAGAUAGCCGGUCGGGUCUUCGACCUUGUAUCUGGUUUUGUCUUUGGUAUCCUCAUAGGGAACGUUUCUGCGCUUUAUUGCGUGGUGCGGUAUCUAUGACUUUUACUUUGAGGAAAUUAGAGUGUUCACGGCAGGCAAACGCCUUGAAUAUAUUAGCAUGGAAUAAUAACAUAGGAUCUUCGUCCUAUUUUGUUGGUUUCUAGGGCUAAGAUAAUGAUUAAUAGGGAUAAUUGGGGGCAUCUGUAUCAACGCGUCAGAGGUGGAAUUCUUGGAUUGCGUUGCGACAAACUACUGCGAAAGCAUUUGCCAAGGAUGUCUUCAUUGA